rnacentral:rRNA from 1 species
CAGCAGUGAGGAAUUGAGCGCAAUGGGGGAAACCAAGAAGCCGUGCCGCCGCGUACAGGAUGAAGUCCUUCGGGUCGUAAACUGCCAGGAAGAGUGAAGAAUUUGACGGUAACUCAGGAAAAAGCCCCGGCUAACUACGUG